UCUCAGCCUCCAGAGCAGCUAGGAUUACAAGUGUGAGCCACCAGUGCCCCAGCUUAGGUCCAUCUUUAAUAACUUACUUGAUCUAUUAUUUGCUUGAUUGUAUGAAGGCGAAUAAUACCAGAGCUACGUUGGUCAGUUCCAGCAUCUCGUGGUUCACUCUCUAUUCACAAAGUCAGGUCAGGAC